CUUCAGUACUUUGUUGAAGCACCUUCCACAGCGAUUACAGCCAAGAGUCUUCUUGGGUACACAAAAAAUUAGGGCUACAACAAGGGUUCUUCUAAGAUCCUAAAAGUUCCUUGAAGAAUCUUAGGGUUAUUGGCUCUGAAAAAUGCCCCCAAAAUGUUCUUCAAGAACCCAAAAGGAGGUGGGGUUCAUUGAGGAACCAACUUAGGUUCCUGCAAGAACACCCACCAACGAACUGCCCAACUGAAACAUUUGGAUUUGAAUUUGAGAUGACAGCAGGUGCAGGCACUUAACUGAACAAUUUUAAGAUCUCAAUGUAAGGUAAGGCUUCUCCCUUGAAUGAUCUAAAUUGAUAUUAUUUUAUGAUCAUACCAUCUAUCUUUUCAUAUUUGGACAAAUGGCAGUGUUUGACACUGUCCAUUUUCUAAAACAGAAAAUGGACACAAUUCAAUGGAUAUCAAUCAACAAUGAGGUAAGAAUAUAUUAAAGGCUAUAGCUGCAUUGGGUGCAGAUGACUGAACUGCUCACUUUUGUAUGUCUGAGUCUGCAGGUAUACAGACCGGGAGGCACACAAAGGUAUGUUUUGCAGAUCACAUGUAUCAUCUACAGUUAAUUUUGUUUUCUCUAAAACCAGAUAGGACUUGGUCACAGCAGCCUCCCUUAUCUCUUCAAUGGAAAUCCCAGAGGCCUCUACAUUAUUUACAAGGAAACCUGUUCGAUCACCAUGCACUGCAAAAUCUGGAUGGAUACGGAGAACAUCAACACAUUAACAUCAACACGCCAGAGGACAUACCCAUUGGACUUGGGGCUCGGCUGGGCGUUUACCUCAUCUUUGGAUUUUUAAAUUCUGCUUUGCCUCUAAAAUAUCAAUAAACACCGACAUCUGAA